GACGAACGCUGGCGGCGUGCUUAACACAUGCAAGUCGAACGGAAAGGCCUUUUCGGAGGUACUUGAGUGGCGAACGGGUGAGUAACACGUGGGUGAUCUGCCCUGCACUCUGGGAUAAGCCUGGGAAACUGGGUCUAAUACCGGAUAGGACCGCACUUUAGUGUGUGUGGUGGAAAGUUUUUUCGGUGUAGGAUGAGCCCGCGGCCUAUCAGCUUGUUGGUGGGGUAAUGGCCUACCAAGGCGGCGACGGGUAGCCGGACUGAGAGGUUGGUCGGCCACAUUGGGACCGAGAUACGGCCCAGACUCCUACGGGAGGCAGCAGUGGGGAAUAUUGCACAAUGGGCGCAAGCCUGAUGCAGCGACGCCGCGUGGGGGAUGACGGCCUUCGGGUUGUAAACUCCUUUCGCCAGGGACGAAGCGUUUUGUGACGGUACCUGGAGAAGAAGCACCGGCUAACUACGUG
rnacentral:rRNA from 1 species